GGUUGAUAUGCUGCUUGUUCGCUCAAUCGACGAGUCGCCAGAACCCCUUGCUCAUGGAAACCAUCGUAAAUGGAGAAAAUUGGUCAGGGACUUGACAGUUCCACGCCGCUAUAUUAUGCAAAGGCUCUCUGUUGCAAUGCUCAAUAUCAGUGACCAGCUGCAUACGGAGGCUGUAAUCGAGAAUGCACGAAAGGUCACAAGUUGGAAGGAAUUUGCCUAUGAAUCGUCAUGCUGCGGAGGUU
rnacentral:misc_RNA from 1 species